rfam:Oryza sativa Japonica Group DNA, chromosome 10, cultivar: Nipponbare, complete sequence.
AAAGACCGAAUUAUUCGGUUUUCGUAUCCAAUGUUUGACCGUCCGUCUUAUAUGAUUUUUUUUAUGAAUAGUAUUUUCAUUAUUGUUGGAUGAUAAAACAUGAAUAAUACUUUAUGCAUGGCUUACCUUUUUAAAUUUUUUCAUAUUUUUUUCAAAUAAGACAAACAGUCAAACGUUAGACACAGAAACCCAG